GGUGGUGCAUGGCUGUCGUCAGCUCGUGUCGUGAGAUGUUGGGUUAAGUCCCGCAACGAGCGCAACCCUUGUUCUGUGUUGCCAGCAUGCCCUUCGGGGUGAUGGGGACUCACAGGAGACUGCCGGGGUCAACUCGGAGUAAGGUGUGCACGACGUCAACCCCUCCCGCCUCCUAUGACUCCCUCUCACACGUAAUUAAUUUGAUAACAUAGAAUAGGGUUGUGUUCGGGGCG
rnacentral:rRNA from 1 species